rnacentral:piRNA from 1 species
GAUACCUCGUGAGGAGAGGGGCCUGG